rnacentral:rRNA from 1 species
AGAGUUUGAUCAUGGCUCAGAGUGAACGCUGGCGGCGUGGAUUAGGCAUGCAAGUCGAGCGAACCCGCAAGGGUUAGCGGCAAAAGGGUGAGUAACACGUAAGUAAUCUUCCUACGAAACGGGGAUAGCAUCGUGAAAACGGUGGUAAUACCCGAUACCAUAAGAGAAUCGCAUGGUUUUCAUAUUAAAGACGGGGACCGCAAGGCCUGUCGUUUGUAGAUGAGCUUGCGUACCAUCAGCUAGUUGGUAGGGUAAUGGCCUACCAAGGCUAAGACGGUUAGCUGGUCUGAGAGGAUGGUCAGCCACAUUGGGACUGAGACACUGCCCAGACUCCUACGGGAGGCUGCAGUCGAGAAUAUUUAGCAAUGGACGAAAGUCUGACUAUGCGACGCCGCGUGCAGGAUGAAGGUCUUCGGAUUGUAAACUGCUUUUGUUAGGGGAGAAACCUGUAUAG